UUUGACGAAAACGUAACCCAUGGAUAAGACGACCCCCUUCUACAGAAUGCUUUUUGGUCCUCAAAAUUCGGCUUAUAGACGGUCAUAUACGGUACACUAAAUUCUACAGGAGCAAAGACAAGAGACACAGCUACAAUGCUGCAGGUAUUCACUACCAAUAAAUCAAGCCAUAGGAAAACCAACCAGUACUCCGACCAAUAAGCACUCUGAUAACAAACAGUUAUAUCCACUAAUGCAGACGUCUGCUCCAUAUAUUUGCUUUCAUAUCAUAUUUACACCUGUAGUUUGGGCAAACUGUACAGACGCCUGAGUUAAGCUCAUUUGAUUCUUAUUGUUACUUCACUGAAAGUAGAAACAGGUCACUGCUGUGUCAUAUAUUCGCACUAUGGAUUGAUGGGGUAUGGAAGAAUGUCGUAUGUGCAAACCCAUGUUGUACUGGCAAAAGUCCAUACUUUGUGAGAUAGGCGGCCAUCUUGGAUAUGCAGUUCAAGCAGUAUUUUUUGCUGAAUUGCAAGAGUGAAUUGUGUAUCUUCACACUGUUCGUGGCAAUAUCUUUCAUGCAUGUAGCUGUCUUCGAAUAAUCAAAUCCUUUUUGUUAUUCAAUUUUACCAACCUGGGCCAUCUUUUGUAUAAAGUGUACAUGAAAUUGUUGUGGUAGCAGUAGAACAGUAAAACACAUCAAUGCAAAUGUCUGAUUUGAAAGUUCUCUCUGUGUGAAAAGUUCAAAUGUAGGAAGUAUUGCUAUUUGUGAUAGUGGUAUAUUAGAUUAGAUGAUUCUAGACUGACUUAUUUAUGCACUUUGUUAAAAUACAGAUGUUUGUCUCAUUUUUAUGAAUCUUAAUACAAUCUAAAAUCAUAUGUCAUUGCUGACGAGUGUCCACUGGUGAAUACAGGCCGCUUACCUCAGUCAGCAGGAGGAUGUCCACUCCCAUGCCAUGGUUGUGGUGUUAUUUGGAACAGUUGAAGAGAGAAUACCUGUAGCAUUUGAGUGUAUGAUUGCAGUAUAACCAUGUCAUAGUCAGAUCAAGUCUCCAGGAUUAGGCUGAUAUUAUAGUUAGUUUAUUCUGAUCCCAUUAUAUUCAAGUGUGUUUCUAAUUAGAAUUCUAGAAUAAGCAGAUAUCUUUAAGGUCUCUUCAGGUAUGCAAGGCAGAAUGUGAACACAGAACAUUUUAUUGUUAACCUUAAGUGUUAGUAUUUGUAUACGUAGGUGACUGAAGGGUAAUUUGGGUUUCAACACUUGAUGCUUUACCCAGCUCGUUAAAUCACCUCCUGAUACAAUGACACUACAUCAGCUACAAACACAAUUAACUUCCAAUACACAAUAGUGCCUGUCUCACUUACAUCAACUCAUUCAACCUCUGUACAUGCACAUGCAUGCAUAAAUAAUGUAUGUUCUAGUGGUGUAAGAUAUAGCCACAUACCGGGGGAUGAUACCUAUUUUAUGUAUAUUUAAGUUCAGUUUAUUUGUGGAAUGCGUCAUUGGAAUUUCACUCACCUACACAUAUAUUCUCUCUUGCCUAACCUUCUUCUGACUUUAUGACUGAGAAAAGUGCAUAAUAACAGGCUUGAAAUACUAAUAAGAUUGUACAAGUUAAUAAUUGUUUCAACCCAAGCUGGGAUUUGGACAAAACAUUUUGGGAUAAAAAAAUUCUUAAUAUUCCUAUUAUCUGACAUUAGAAAUUCUUUGAACAUAUUGACUAAAACAUGACAUUCAGUCUUGUAAAAGUCUCCUCUUCCACAUCAUUGUCCCACUGUCAUUGAUAUACAUGGCACGUCGACUGAGCCAUAACGAUAUUUAGUUUUGACUGUAUUGUUACAACCUGGGAACAUUUUACUUCCUAUGUGGGAAUUAUUACUGACAUUGUGCUUUGCAUCUUUAAAAAGGACUUAAGCAUGUACCUAUGGAAGGUGGAGUGGUUGGGUAGACAAGUGGUUGAUGGUCACUUGUCAUGCUGAAGACCUGGCUUCAAUUUUCCAUAUGGGUACAAUGUGUGAAGCACAUUUCUGAUGUCCCCGAAAUGAUUUUCUGGAAUAUUGCUAAAAGCAGUUAAAGCAAAACCUCACUCACUCUCUCACUCACUCACGUAUGAAAGGCUGAAGUGUACAUUGUUUUAUGUUUGUGAGCAAAUCAGUUGUACAUUUCACCAAUAGAAGUGCCUUUUGUGUCUGUAUGUCUGUAUCAUGUGAUCAGUCAUGUGAUUAGUGUAGUAUGUGCUGUUAGUUGACUGUUGUGUGAACUGGUUGAACCAAUAUGAAGACAGAUUUUUCUGUGCUGCAGUUUAAGACGUGUAGUGUACCAGUGUGACCUGGGGAGUGACCCAGUAAAGAAUUCUAUUUAUUGAUUUCUGACAUGAGACAAUCUAAAAUGUGUCAGUUGGGUUUACAACCCUGAUGUCUUUGGUUACCUUUCCUUAUGCUAAGCAGACUGUUAAAGUGAAAAUAGGUCUUAAGUGUCUAUGUUUUACUUUUGGUUUAUCAUCUUUUUAUCUUUGGCAAUUACAUCUUAUACAGUACAUCAUACUUUUGGAUAUAUUUAUAUCACCAUUGUCCUUAUGUGCCAUCAUAGCAAACAACAGUUGCCCCAAAGUGGACAAUGUCUCGUGAAUGGCCAUGACACAUGUACACGUAAUUGAUGAAGCAGUGUGAGAACACUGGGCGUAAAGUCACUCAUGUGGAACAUCAUCCCCUUUUCGGACUGUCGACAAGUAAUUUGGACGGAUUAUUUAUUGUUGUUGUCGACAGGCCGGGUAUAAACCGUCAGAAGUUGUUACCUUUGGUGCAACACGCAAAAACGUGUGAAAAGACAUCAUUGUGUUACACUGUUCAAUAUGCUUACUGAAAUUGAUUUAAUUUUUUGCGCUAAACUGUAUUAUACAUACCUAAUCAACACAAUAUUAUCUUUAACGGAAGUGGUCUUGACAAGAUGUAAUAUCUGCUAUUGAUAUUAAUUUCAAUCACUCAAAACAUCUUCAUGUUUUCGGUCCAGGAUUAAGAUGACCGAAAGGCCGCUAAAAUAUUUAUAUUUUAAAGUCAAAAACAGCAAUUGUUAUAUCGCAGUUUUCAUACUAUAUGUUACUGUUUAUUUAGUAUAUUUUGUAUAUAUCAUCCUUAUGUUUGAAUUCUUGUCUGUUCAUCUUGUUCUUUAAUUUAACCAUUCCAUUAUUUUCCAAAUUGUUUUGUUUCUUAUUUCAAUGAUUCAAAGCUGACACACAUAUAUAUUUAUACAUAUAAUCAAUUUCUUUUUUAAAAUAUCUUAUUAUCUCAGCCAGUAAUCAAUGUGAUCAGGUUGGUAUAUCACUGAUGGAUUGAAAGAUACCCAGUAUCUUUUGCUUAAAGCUGAAGCAUUUUGGAUAGACGGCUGUUGUCGAUUAAAUGGUGAUUGUGGUCAGUGUACUCUGAUAGAGGGGAUUGAUGUUUUUGCUUCACGACUGAAUUAUUUACAUGUGGUCUCAGCGUGCAAAAUAGUUUCCAAAUUUUGCUAGCCAGACAGGCGAGCUAUGCCUGAAAGUUACAAAAAAGCCCACAAAAUAAUUCAUCAGGCCGAAAUUUGAAUGUAGAAACUAAGCAAAAGAUUACAAAAAGGUAAAAUACCAUAAAAAACAAAUGACCAAAUGAAAAUUCACUAUCCAGGCAGGCCAGUGACUUUGGAGAUUUACUGGUCUCACUGGAUUUUUACUAGCCACAGGCUAGCGGGCAAGUGUCCGCCAGUGUCACACAGUGCAGUCAUGAUAUGGCUGGAACAUUGGUGAGAGUGACAUUAUACAUUGUUGACUAUCAUGUGUGUGUUGGUCAAAUACUGAGGUUACGAUGCUGAUGUACACAUACAGGCAUUUACUUCAGGGAUUGGGUGUGUGUGGGGGGGUAUGUGAUAGAUUAAAGGCAAUGAGUGGUUGGGUAAGAUGAUGGGUGGCAGGGAAACACACACUCAUAAAGUGAGGCAUCUAAGUCCGGCACUUAAGGUCAGUGAUGUAACCCACUUAGACUAAUGCUUAGUCCCUGAAUAUAUAUAAGUUUGAUAGUAACAAAUAAACCCUUUUAAAUUGAAAGAGAUUCCUAGACUUGUUUCAUUUAGAGUUUUAGCAUUGCAGAGAGGGCUCGGCUAGGGAAAAUAAUGUGGUUCAGGGACUGUGAGACAUCCUAUAACCCACCCAGCCACUGCGGCUUCCACAAAGAUAGAAGUCUGACAGCUGGUAGUCUAGAUUACACACUUUGUGUACUCCUCUGACAAAUGUACAUUGUCGACAUGUUUGAUUCUGGCACUUUUGUUGGGUUGUGUCCCAUCAACGAUUCAAACCCACACUCUCAGAGUGAGGCACCUAAUCACCAGCGCACAACCGUGUGGGAACCGUGCCAAUUUACACUUGGCAGAGGGUUACACAAAGCAUGUGAUCUAGAUUCCCUCAGAUCCAAACCACAUUAUAAGAAAUGACUGCUCCCUUAGGGGACACUUCUCUGCAAAUCAAGUUCAAAAUCUCCCACCAGUUAACCGCCAGUGCCCUCACUAUUUACUUAGUGAAUGGGAGUGAACAUAUGCCCUCUGAUUGUGUCAGUAUGGAAUGACAGACAAGUGGUUAGAGCACCAUUCUGAAGGAUCUGUGUUCCACUUGGAUGCAUUGUGUGAAGACCCUUCAUCCAGCCAUGACAUUGCUGGAAAAUGGCUAAGUUUGAAAACACAACUCACUUUCUUACUUGUUUGUCAACGCUGAUGAGUGAGUGAGUUUAGUUUAUGCUGUUUUUAGCAAUAUUCCAGCAAUAUCAGAGCACGGGACACCAGAAAUGGGCUUCACACAUUGUACCUUUUUGGGGUAUCGAACCUGGGUCCUCAGCGUGAUGAGUGAACGCUUUAACCACUAGGCUACCUCACCGCCCCUUCAAUGCUAGUGAACCAGCUUUGAAAGCUUAACAUCUCAUCCACUAAACAGUUAAACUCAGUGGUACAGAGUUGUACAGUACAGUAGAUGUGUUGACAGUGCGGAUAUACUUUGAGUGUUGCUUACAUGUCUAGCUGGUGUGUGUGUUGCUGGGAUUGUUGUCAAACAACUUGUGUAAUCUGUUGAUCUUGUUUGUCCUGUGUUCUCCAUGUAGCAAUGGAGAGCUCAGCAACCUGUAACAGAAUAUGGAGUUUAAAAACCAAAUGGUAUGAAUAAAAAUAUUUAAAACAAUA